AAAAAACAAACAAAAAAACAUAAGAGAUGAUGUCGUUUGGAUCUCAUCAGGUUCUAUAACCAUUCAUCUUGCCAUUCAUCUUUCUCUCUCCCUUCCAUUCUACUUGGCACAAAUCGCCACCGUAUCACCACUGAUCGAUGGUCAAAACUUCCUUGAAUCAAGAAACUCCGAACGUUAA